rnacentral:lncRNA from 1 species
CGCCUCCGGUUGCAGCAGACGCUGACCUGUGGCCUUGGCUCCAGCGUCAGAAUUUUUUCAGGGUGGGCAGGGCCAGGUGGUUGGGGGAGGGAGGGGCAGGAUGGCCCUUUGGGAGGCUCUGCCCCAUACCAGCCCCUGCUCUCAUGCUUCAUUCUCUGAGGGCGUUUGGCAAUUUGUUUGCUAUGGGGCAGAGCAAAUCCUUUGAGAAAUCGAAGUUUUGCCUCGGACUGUCUUGAACCUCUUCCCACAUGCAACCUGUCCCGAAGCUCUUAGGUAUUUUUUAGGAGGCGUGCUGUGAAUAGCCCGUCCCUCCCCGGCUGCAUUGGGCAACCCAUCCCUCUCCUUGGCCGGUGCUUAAUGACAGAGUUGGCAAGUUCAGGGUCCACGUGGGAACAUCCUGUUGGCCAGAGGCCUUAUUUCGGCAGACAGGUCUUGAAAAAAGCUGCUGUGGCCGAUGUCGAAGAGAUCUCUUUCAGGAGGAGAAAUCCUGGACUUGGGGGAGUGAGCCAGUUGGAACACCAAGAACAGAGAAGAGUGUGCUCUGAGUGGAGAGGAGGUUCAAUAAGGGGACACCAAGCAGAGCCCCCUUCUGGAUGGAUAUGUUCACUAAUCUGCUAAUAAUAUUGCCUUCAACUGAUGGGAGGGAACUUGUAUUUGGUGAGUUGAUUUUGUUUUAGAUGGCGGGCCCAUGGGAGGUGGGGGUGUCUUGACAUUGAUUAAUGGGAAAUUUGAUUGCUAAAGAGUGGGAUUGCUCAUUUAGCUCUGGGCUUUCUUUUUUGUUUACUCACUGCCCACCUCCUGAGACUUUCCUCAGAGACAGAUGGGCUACCUUGGUAUUUUGAGACAACCGAGCAAGGUGCUUUUGCUUACUGGCUGUGCUGGUCUCAGCCUCCGUUCUCCACCCAACCAGAAAGCCAGAAAGGUGCCCGCUAUUUCCAAAUGUCUCAGGGUUGUGAUGUGACCGGUUGUAGGGAAAAACAGAGGGUGGAAAAAAAGAGAGAGAGAGAGAGAGAGAGAGAGAGUUCUCUUUGGUUUUAUUCUGGCCUUAUUGGAUUUAAAUUGUGGUUGGAAAAACUGAGACUUAGUUUGGUACUGGAAAUUGAGAAGUGGAAACAGAGUGUGAAGCUGGUGGGUCCUUCUGGCAAUGAAGAGAAGGGGGAAUGAGGGUGAUUUUUUCCCUAGAAAAGUAAAGCAUUUAUCAGUUGGGAUGGGACAAAGACAAAUUGGGUAUACAGUUUGUAUAAUGGGAUGGAUGUUGAUUUAGGGGCAAAAGGAUUAGAUUUUAAAUCCCAGCUCUGCUACGAACAAGCUUUGUGACCUCUAGGAAUAACCUCCUUGAAUCUGUUUGGCAUCUCUCCAGUAAGAAUAGUAAUGUUUCAGAAUAGUUGUACUUGCAAAUAACUGACAACCCAACUCAAAAAGAGUUAAAUACUAAAAGAAAUAAUUUAUCUCAUAGCUACUAAAAUGUCCAUGAGUAGCAAAACCUACAGGCAUGGUUUGAUCAGGGUUCCAGAUCCGUUUCUCUCCAAGUCUCUUGUUUCUGCCCUUUUUGAUUGCUUUUCUCUGGAGAGAAAACUGUCAGCAAGAGUUCUAUGCCUCCCAGUGUGCACAUCCCCAUGUUGAGAAUAAGGUAGAAAAUUUCUCUUCAAUCACUGCACAAAAUCACUGGACCUCACUUCGACUGGACUGACCUCAAGUGGGUGGGGCUGGGAGCAGGCAGAAGGAGAGAGAAUCUCAAAUAGCCUCUGUGCUGAGUGCAAAGCCCAAUGGAGGGCUCUAUCUCAUGACCCUGAGCUCAUGACCUGCACUGAAAUCAAGUCAGGCACUUAACCAACUGAGCCACCCAGGCGUCCCUCCAUGAAGGAUUAAAGUGAGAAUUAAAUAAUGUAGCAUAUAUGAACAUUCCCAACAGCACCCCAGCACAUAGGAGAUGCUCUCACAUUAAUCAAAUCUGAAUUUGUGGUGAUAUUAGUUUUCUGUUACUAUGUAAUAAUUUAUUACAAUAUAUUAGUUUUCUGUUACUAUAUAAUAAUUUAUCACAAACUCAGCAGCUUAAAACAAUAUGCAAUGUGUUAGCUCACAGUUCUAUAGGUCAGGAGUCUGGGGUUGUAUGCUUGGUCAGAGUAUCACAAGACCAAGGGCAUUCUCAUCUGAAGACUGGGGUCCUACUCCAAGAUCAUACAAGUUGUUGACAGAUGUAUUUCCUUGAGAUGACAGGUCUGAGGUGCCUGUUUCCUCCUUGGCUGUCAGUAGAGAGCUCCUCUCCGCAACUACAGACUACUUUUUGGUUCCCCUUCAUCUUCAAAGUCAGUAUUGGAGAAAGUUGUAUUGAACCCUUUCCAUGUACCAAAUCUCUGGGUCUCUAGACUCAGAUUUCAUGGGCUCUUAUGAUUAUACAGGCCCUCCUGUAUAAUUUCCCUUUUGAUGAACUCAAAGCCAACUGAUUAGUAGCUUUAAUUACAUCUGCAGAGUCUCUCUUUCCUUGUAGCACAAUCUAGUCCAUCACACAAAGGUGCUAUUCCACAACAUUCCCAGGCUCUGCCCCACAGUGAAGGGACUGGGAAGGGGGGCGGUCCUGAAGGCCACUUUAGAUCCUGCCUACCACAGUACAAAGACCCAGUUAUCAUCAUGUGUAUUGGUCACAGUGCAUGGCGCUCCAGGAGUACAACAAAUAUUGGCUGAGGGAAUGGAAUGAAUGAACAUGGUUCCCAAGGCCCUUCAGGAUCUGGCCCAUUCUUAUCUCCUGCUAACUGACCCCAAAUACACACACACACACACACACACACGUCUGUCUACACUGCUAGGCCAACCCUGGUAGGCCUUCAGACUCAGCUGUCUCUGGCCUCUUCCAUCCUCCCGACCAGGUCAGAAGUCUCCAAGCUCCCAUAAGCAUUCUUACCACAGCAUCAAGUGGAGGUUGGCUUGUUAGUUCCCACUUAAGACACCAAUUGCAGGAAAAGCAAGAACUCAUCUAUGCUGGCUGGUUUGGAAUGUGAUCAGCCAUGAGUUUUGACACAUAUUU